CCUACGGGGGGCUGCAGUGGGGAAUAUUGCACAAUGGGCGCAAGCCUGAUGCAGCCAUGCCGCGUGUGUGAAGAAGGCCUUCGGGUUGUAAAGCACUUUCAGCGGGGAGGAAGGCGUUAAGGUUAAUAACCUUGGCGAUUGACGUUACCCGCAGAAGAAGCACCGGCUAACUCCGUGCCAGCAGCCGCGGUAAUACGGAGGGUGCAAGCGUCAAUCGGAAUUACUGGGCGUAAAGCGCACGCAGGCGGUCUGUCAAGUCGGAUGUGAAAUCCCCGGGCUCAACCUGGGAACUGCAUUCGAAACUGGCAGGCUAGAGUCUUGUAGAGGGGGGUAGAAUUCCAGGUGUAGCGGUGAAAUGCGUAGAGAUCUGGAGGAAUACCGGUGGCGAAGGUGGCCCCCUGGACAAAGACUGACGCUCAGGUGCGAAAGCGUGGGGAGCAAACAGGAUUAGAUACCCUAGUAGUC
rnacentral:rRNA from 1 species